GGAGAGGUGACAGAGUACGGUCGAUUGUGCCUCCCUGCUAAGGAGGUGGGGGUGUUAAGCCCCCCGUGGGUUCAAAUCCCACCCUCUCCG
rnacentral:tRNA from 1 species